GCGACACUAGCUCAGUUGGUAGAGCGCAACCUUGCCAAGGUUGAGGUCACGAGUUCGAACCUCGUGUGUCGCCCA
rnacentral:tRNA from 1 species